UAACUGAAGAGUUUGAUCAUGGCUCAGAUUGAACGCUGGCGGCAGGCUUAACACAUGCAAGUCGAGCGGGGGAAGGUAGCUUGCUACUGGACCUAGCGGCGGACGGGGGAGUAAUGCUUAGGAAUCUGCCUAUUAGUGGGGGACAACAUCUCGAAAGGGAUGCUAAUACCGCAUACGUCCUACGGGAGAAAGCAGGGGAUCUUCGGACCUUGCGCUAAUAGGUGAGCCUAAGUCG
rnacentral:rRNA from 1 species